UACAGAGGUCUCAAGCGUUGUUCGGAUUCAUUGGGCGUAAAGGGUGCGUAGGUGGCGCCAUAAGUCAGGUGUGAAAUCUCGGGGCUCAACCCCGAAACUGCACUUGAUACUGUGGUGCUCGAGUACUGGAGAGGAGAUUGGAAUUUACGGUGUAACAGUGAAAUGCGUAGAUAUCGUAAGGAAGACCAGUGGCGAAGGCGAAUCUCUGGACAGUUACUGACACUGAGGCACGAAGGCCAGGGGAGCAAACGGG
rnacentral:rRNA from 1 species